rnacentral:rRNA from 1 species
UAUCAGAAAGUGACGGCAAACUAUGUGCCAGCAGCCGCGGUAAUACAUAGGUCACAAGCGUUAUCCGAAAUUAUUGGGCGUAAAGCGUCCGUAGGUUGUUUAUUAAGACUGGAGUCAAAGACCGGUGCUCAACGCCGGCACGCUUUAGAUACUGGUAGACUAGAGUUAUAAAGAGGUGAGUGGAAUUUCAUGUGAAGCGGUGGAAUGCGUAGAUAUAUGAAAGAACACCAAUGGCGAAGGCAGCUCACUGGUUAUAUACUGACACUGAGGGACGAAAGCGUGGGGAGCAAACAGGAUUAGAUACCCUGGUAGUCCACGCCGUAAACGAUGAUCAUUAGUUGGUGGGAGAAUCUCGCUAACGCAGCUAACGCAUUAAAUGAUCCGCCUGAGUAGUAUGCUCGCAAGAGUGAAACUUAAAGGAAUUGACGGGGACCCGCACAAGCGGUGGAGCAUGUGGUUUAAUUUGACGAUACGCGUAGAACCUUACCCACUCUUGACAUCCUCUGCAAAGCUAUAGAGAUAUAGUC